AUUGAACGCUGGCGGCAGGCCUAACACAUGCAAGUCGAGCGAGCGGCGGAAGGGUGAGUAAUGUCUGGGAAACUGCCUGAUGGAGGGGGAGAACUUCUGGAAACGGUAGCUAAUACCGCAUACCAUCAGAUGUGCCCAGAUGGGAUUAGCUAGUGGGUGGGGUAACGGCUCACCUAGGCGACGAUCCCUAGCGAGUCUAAGAGGAUGACCAGCAAAACUCGAACUGUGGCCCAGUCCAGAGUCCUGGGGGUGGCAGCAGUGGUGGAUAUUGCGCAAUGGGCGCAAGCCUGAUGCAGCCAUGCCGCAUGGGUGAAGAAGGCCUGCGGGUUGUAAGGUACUUUCAGCGGGGAGGCGGUACCCGCAGAAGACGCACCGGAUAACUCCGUGCCAGCAGACGCGGUAAUUC
rnacentral:rRNA from 1 species